AGAUUAAGUUAUUAAGGGCGCACGGUGGAUGCCUUGGCACUAGAAGCCGAUGAAGGACGUUACUAACGACGAUAUGCUUUGGGUAGCUGUAAGUAAGCGUUGAUCCAGAGAUUUCCGAAUGGGGGAACCCAGCAUGAGUUAUGUCAUGUUAUCGACAUGUGAAUUCAUAGCAUGUCAGAAGGCAGACCCGGAGAACUGAAACAUCUUAGUACCCGGAGGAAGAGAAAGAAAAAUCGAUUCCCUGAGUAGCGGCGAGCGAAACGGGAAGAGCCCAAACCAACAAGCUUGCUUGUUGGGGUUGUAGGACACUCUAUACGGAGUUACAAAAGAACAUGUUAGACGAAUCAUCUGGAAAGAUGAAUCAAAGAAGGUAAUAAUCCUGUAGUCGAAAACAUAUUCUCUCUUGAGUGGAUCCUGAGUACGACGGAGCACGUGAAAUUCCGUCGGAAUCUGGGAGGACCAUCUCCUAAGGCUAAAUACUCUCUAGUGACCGAUAGUGAACCAGUACCGUGAGGGAAAGGUGAAAAGUACCCCGGAAGGGGAGUGAAAGAGAACUUGAAACCGUGUGCUUACAAGUAGUCAGAGCCCGUUAAUGGGUGAUGGCGUGCCUUUUGUAGAAUGAACCGGCGAGUUACGAUCUGAUGCAAGGUUAAGCAGCAAAUGUGGAGCCGCAGCGAAAGCGAGUCUGAAUAGGGCGUUGAGUAUUUGGUCGUAGACCCGAAACCAGGUGAUCUACCCUUGGUCAGGUUGAAGUUCAGGUAACACUGAAUGGAGGACCGAACCGACUUACGUUGAAAAGUGAGCGGAUGAACUGAGGGUAGCGGAGAAAUUCCAAUCGAACUUGGAGAUAGCUGGUUCUCUCCGAAAUAGCUUUAGGGCUAGCCUCAAGUGAUGAUUAUUGGAGGUAGAGCACUGUUUGGACGAGGGGCCCCUCUCGGGUUACCGAAUUCAGACAAACUCCGAAUGCCAAUUAAUUUAACUUGGGAGUCAGAACAUGGGUGAUAAGGUCCGUGUUCGAAAGGGAAACAGCCCAGACCACCAGCUAAGGUCCCAAAAUAUAUGUUAAGUGGAAAAGGAUGUGGCGUUGCCCAGACAACUAGGAUGUUGGCUUAGAAGCAGCCAUCAUUUAAAGAGUGCGUAAUAGCUCACUAGUCGAGUGACACUGCGCCGAAAAUGUACCGGGGCUAAACAUAUUACCGAAGCUGUGGAUUGUCCUUUGGACAAUGGUAGGAGAGCGUUCUAAGGGCGUCGAAGCAUGAUCGCAAGGACAUGUGGAGCGCUUAGAAGUGAGAAUGCCGGUGUGAGUAGCGAAAGACGGGUGAGAAUCCCGUCCACCGAUUGACUAAGGUUUCCAGAGGAAGGCUCGUCCGCUCUGGGUUAGUCGGGUCCUAAGCUGAGGCCGACAGGCGUAGGCGAUGGAUAACAGGUUGAUAUUCCUGUACCACCUAGUAUCGUUUUAAUCGAUGGGGGGACGCAGUAGGAUAGGCGAAGCGUGCUGUUGGAGUGCACGUCCAAGCAGUAAGGCUGAGUGUUAGGCAAAUCCGGCACUCAUAAGGCUGAGCUGUGAUGGGGAGAGGAAAUUGUUUCCUCGAGUCGUUGAUUUCACACUGCCGAGAAAAGCCUCUAGAUAGAUAACAGGUGCCCGUACCGCAAACCGACACAGGUAGUCAAGAUGAGAAUUCUAAGGUGAGCGAGCGAACUCUCGUUAAGGAACUCGGCAAAAUGACCCCGUAACUUCGGGAGAAGGGGUGCUCUUUAGGGUUCACGCCCAGAAGAGCCGCAGUGAAUAGGCCCAAGCGACUGUUUAUCAAAAACACAGGUCUCUGCUAAACCGUAAGGUGAUGUAUAGGGGCUGACGCCUGCCCGGUGCUGGAAGGUUAAGAGGAGUGGUUAGCUUCUGCGAAGCUACGAAUCGAAGCCCCAGUAAACGGCGGCCGUAACUAUAACGGUCCUAAGGUAGCGAAAUUCCUUGUCGGGUAAGUUCCGACCCGCACGAAAGGCGUAACGAUUUGGGCACUGUCUCAACGAGAGACUCGGUGAAAUCAUAGUACCUGUGAAGAUGCAGGUUACCCGCGACAGGACGGAAAGACCCCGUGGAGCUUUACUGUAGCCUGAUAUUGAAAUUCGGCACAGCUUGUACAGGAUAGGUAGGAGCCUUUGAAACGUGAGCGCUAGCUUACGUGGAGGCGUUGGUGGGAUACUACCCUAGCUGUGUUGGCUUUCUAACCCGCACCACUUAUCGUGGUGGGAGACAGUGUCAGGCGGGCAGUUUGACUGGGGCGGUCGCCUCCUAAAAGGUAACGGAGGCGCUCAAAGGUUCCCUCAGAAUGGUUGGAAAUCAUUCAUAGAGUGUAAAGGCAUAAGGGAGCUUGACUGCGAGACCUACAAGUCGAGCAGGGUCGAAAGACGGACUUAGUGAUCCGGUGGUUCCGCAUGGAAGGGCCAUCGCUCAACGGAUAAAAGCUACCCCGGGGAUAACAGGCUUAUCUCCCCCAAGAGUUCACAUCGACGGGGAGGUUUGGCACCUCGAUGUCGGCUCAUCGCAUCCUGGGGCUGUAGUCGGUCCCAAGGGUUGGGCUGUUCGCCCAUUAAAGCGGUACGCGAGCUGGGUUCAGAACGUCGUGAGACAGUUCGGUCCCUAUCCGUCGUGGGCGUAGGAAAUUUGAGAGGAGCUGUCCUUAGUACGAGAGGACCGGGAUGGACAUACCUCUGGUGUACCAGUUGUCGUGCCAACGGCAUAGCUGGGUAGCUAUGUAUGGACGGGAUAAGUGCUGAAAGCAUCUAAGCAUGAAGCCCCCCUCAAGAUGAGAUUUCCCAACUUCGGUUAUAAGAUCCCUCGAAGAUGACGAGGUUAAUAGGUUCGAGGUGGAAGCGUGGUGACACGUGGAGCUGACGAAUACUAAUCGAUCGAAGACUUAAUCAAUUU
rnacentral:rRNA from 4 species